AGUGAACGAGGGGGGGAGGAGGAACACAUGCAAGUCGAACGGCAGCACAGUAAGAGCUUGCUCUUACGGGUGGCGAGUGGCGGACGGGUGAGGAAUACAUCGGAAUCUACUUUUUCGUGGGGGAUAACGUAGGGAAACUUACGCUAAUACCGCAUACGACCUACGGGUGAAAGCAGGGGAUCUUCGGACCUUGCGCGAUUGAAUGAGCCGAUGUCGGAUUAGCUAGUUGGCGGGGUAAAGGCCCACCAAGGCGACGAUCCGUAGCUGGUCUGAGAGGAUGGUGAGCCACACUGGAACUGAGACACGGUCCAGACUCCUACGGGAGGCAGCAGUGGGGAAUAUUGGACAAUGGGCGCAAGCCUGAUCCAGCCAUACCGCGUGGGUGAAGAAGGCCUUCGGGUUGUAAACACCUGUGGUUGGGAAAGAAAAGCAGCAGGUUAAUACCCCGCUGUUCUGACGGUACCCAAAGAAUAAGCACCGGCUCACUUCGUC
rnacentral:rRNA from 1 species